rnacentral:rRNA from 1 species
CCCUACGGGGCGCAGCAGGCGCGAAAACUCUACAAUGCAGGCAACCGCGAUAGGGGAACAUCGAGUGAUACUCAUAUUGGGUGUCUGUCCCACCGUCUAAAAAACGGGUGUUAGCAAGGGCCGGGCGAGACCGGUGCCAGCCGCCGCGGUAACACCGGCGGCCCGAGUGGUGAUCGUGAUUAUUGGGUCUAAAGGGUCCGUAGCCGGUUUGGUCAGUCCUCCGGGAAAUCUGAUAGCUCAACUAUUAGGCUAUCGGGGGAUACUACCAGACUUGGAACCGGGAGAGGUAAGAGGUACUCCAGGGGUAGGAGUGAAAUCCUGUAAUCCA